rnacentral:rRNA from 1 species
UGGGGAAUAUUGCACAAUGGGCGCAAGCCUGAUGCAGCAAUGCCGCGUGUGUGAAGAAGGCCUUCGGGUUGUAAAGCACUUUCAGACGUGAGGAAAAGUUAAUAGUUAAUAACUGUUAACCCUGACGUUAACGUCAGAAGAAGCACCGGCUAACUCCGUGCCAGCAGCCGCGGUAAUACGGAGGGUGCAAGCGUUAUCCGGAAUCAUUGGGUUUAAAGGGUCCGUAGGCGGACUAAUAAGUCAGAGGUGAAAUCCCGCAGCUCAACUGUGGAACUGCCUUUGAAACUGUUAGUCUUGAGUUAUUGUGAAGUGGUUAGAAUAUGUAGUGUAGCGGUGAAAUGCUUAGAGAUUACAUGGAAUACCGAUUGCGAAGGCAGAUCACUAACAAUAUACUGACGCUGAUGGACGAAAGCGUGGGGAGCGAACA